rnacentral:tRNA from 1 species
CCUGGUGGCUCAGACGGUAAAGCAUCUGCCUGCAAUACAGGAGACCUGGGUUCGAUCCCUGGGUCAGGA